rnacentral:rRNA from 1 species
AAAACUUACCAGGUCAAGACAUGGGCGUGAUUGACAGGCUAAUGACUUUUCUCGAUUCCAUGGAUGGUGGUGCAUGGUCGCACUUAGUUGGUGCAGUGAUUUGUCAGGUUUAUUCCGGUAACGAACGAGACCUCGGCCUUGUAAAUAGCUAUGCUGCUUACAGGGACAUUGGCGGCUACGCCAAGGAAGCUCGAGGCAAUUGCAGAUCUGGAAUGCCCUUAGAUGUCCUGGGUCGCACGCGUGCUACAAUGACGCCACGAACGAGCUUGCGUGAUGAAAGUUACGCAUAAUCAGCAGUCGGCGUCUUAAGGGAUAGUCUCUUGUAACUGUGGGACUCCAACUAGGAAUGUCUCGUAAGCACAAGUCAACAUCUUGUGUUGAUUACGUCCCUGCUCUUUGUACACACCGCCCGUCGCUCCUACCGAUCGAGUGUUUAGGUGAAUUUGAUGGACGUAAGGAAGUCAAAUAAACCUGAGCACUAGAGAAGAGAAGUCGAGCUC